AUGGCAAGUGUCCCGAUACUUUCGAACGCAACAGAACCGACAAAUUAUCGUUCGAUGUACGAAAUUGGAUGUCGAGAAUCGAUGCCAAAUCUUGAAUCGUAACUAAUGAGCCUGGCCAAAAGCGUUUCGCAAAAGACGAUCCCGAUUUAUCGUCCAACUAACGCUCCUCUACUCGUGUAAAUAUGUAUGCUUGUUCACGAAUCCUCAUCAGCCUGCCGAGGAAUCUUCUAUGGGCUAAUGGAAAUUAUUUAUAAAAUUAUAAAACAUAAA